ACGCUGGCGGCAGGCUUAACACAUGCAAGUCGAACGGUAGCAGGAGGAAGCUUGCUUUCUUGCUGACGAGUGGCGGACGGGUGAGUAAUGCUUGGGAAUCUGGCUUAUGGAGGGGGAUAACUACGGGAAACUGUAGCUAAUACCGCGUAGUGUCGAGAGACGAAAGUGCGGGACCGCAAGGCCGCAUGCCAUGAGCUGAGCCCAAGUGGGAUUAGGUAGUUGGUGGGGUAAAGGCCUACCAAGCCUGCGAUCUCUAGCUGGUCUGAGAGGAUGGCCAGCCACACUGGAACUGAGACACGGUCCAGACUCCUACGGGAGGCAGCAGUGGGGAAUAUUGCGCAAUGGGGGGAACCCUGACGCAGCCAUGCCGCGUGAAUGAAGAAGGCCUUCGGGUUGUAAAGUUCUUUCGGUAUUGAGGAAGGAGUGUAUGUUAACAGCAUACAUUAUUGACGUUAAAUACAGAAGAAGCACCGGCUAACUCCGUGCCAGCAGCCGCGGUAAUACGGAGGGUGCGAGCGUUAAUCGGAAUAACUGGGCGUAAAGGGCACGCAGGCGGUUAUUUAAGUGAGGUGUGAAAGCCCCGGGCUUAACCUGGGAAUUGCAUUUCAGACUGGGUAACUAGAGUACUUUAGGGAGGGGUAGAAUUCCACGUGUAGCGGUGAAAUGCGUAGAGAUGUGGAGGAAUACCGAAGGCGAAGGCAGCCCCUUGGGAAUGUACUGACGCUCAUGUGCGAAAGCGUGGGGAGCAAACAGGAUUAGAUACCCUGGUAGUCCACGCUGUAAACGCUGUCGAUUUGGGGAUUGGGCUUAAAGCUUGGUGCCCGUAGCUAACGUGAUAAAUCGACCGCCUGGGGAGUACGGCCGCAAGGUUAAAACUCAAAUGAAUUGACGGGGGCCCGCACAAGCGGUGGAGCAUGUGGUUUAA
rnacentral:rRNA from 1 species